AAGAAGGAGAAAGAAAACGAGUGAGGCCGGUCAAAUUUGAGAAAGGAAAUUGUGUCAUCACUCUGAUUUUCUUAUUGCACUCAUUUUACUCGAUUUUCAUUUGGCCACCUGUGUACUCCCUUGAGCAGAAAAGGAAACACAAUUAUUUGAAAUCCGACUGAAAGAUGAUAAUUCCUUCAAUUUCCUACUUUUUUAUUUCCGUUUGUGCUUUGAAUUAGCUUUCAUUGCUGUUUUUGUGCAGUCAACCUCUCAGUUUGGUUUUAUUUUGCUAAGUUUCAGGCGAUUUCUUACUUCUUCGUUUCCGUAACUUCAGUUGCAGUUUUUUUUUUUUAGUCAACCUCAAAGGAAAAAAAAAAAAAAAACCCUCAUUUUGGUUUUAUUUUGCUAGGUUUCAGACGAUUUCUUGCUUCUUUGUCUCUGUAACUUAAAUUGCAAUUUUUGUGUAAGCAACCUCUCAUUUUGGUUUUUUAUCAAAAAAGAAAGAAAAAAAAAACCCUCAUUUUAGUUUUAUUUUCUGGUGAUUUUUUACUUCUUUGUUUCCGUAACUUAAAUUGCAAUUUUUUAUAGUCAAAAUCUCAUUUUGGUUUCUCAAAAAAAAAAAAAAAAAAAAAAAACGCCUCUGUUUGGUUUUAUUUUGCUCUGUUUAAGACGAUUUCUUACUUCAUUGUUUCAGUAACUUCAAUUGCAAUCUUUGUGUAGUCAACCUCUCCCAUUUUGGUUCUAUUUCAAAAAGAAAAAAAAAAAAAAAAAAAACUCUCAUUUUGGUUUCUAAAAAAAAAAAAAAAAUACCUUCAUUUUGGUUAUAUUUUGCUUUGUUUCAAAAGGAAAAGGAGGAAAAGUGAAAAGAGAGAGAGCCAGAAACCUCCAACAUUUCACUUAAUCUUUGUUGCAGUUUUGUGUUGUCGUCUUGACGGAUCGGUUUUACUUUGUUCAACUACCAAAAAAAAAAAAGAGGAAAAGUCCAGCUUUUCACCUCUGCUCUCUGCUCUCAUUUGCCAUAUCAACGAUCCUGUUCUGCGAAGUCAAGGGAGUUGAAAGCAACCUACUAUAUUCUUCUGUUACGGCAAAGAGGAAAACAAAAGGGGGAAAAAAAGAGAGAUAAAGGAACCAUAUAUCAUCACUUUCACUUAGCACUUGGUGACUGUCCGGACCGAGUAGAGGAAGUAGAAAACAUCCGCUACGGAAUAAUUUGAUAGCCUAAAGAGAGGCCCUUUGAUUGUGAACCAUAUUCAAGCAUUCCCACUUACCCAGGUACAGAGCAGCAGUAAGAUUGAAGGUAGAAGGCGCCGCAUCACCAUAUAGUUGCAGACAUUUUUCUACACAAGCCCUUUGAUUGUGAAGCAUAUUCAAGCAUUCCCACUUUCCCAGAGGCACUCUUCUUUUCUUUUCUUUUCUUUUUUUUUUUUCAUUUUUUUUUUAUUAUCAUAUAUUUAUUUGUUAUUAAAAUAAUCAAUAUAUCAUAUAACAUUAUAUGAUAUAUUGUACUUGAUUAAAAUAUACCAUUCUUUAUCAUUUAAUUUAAUUUAUAGAUAAAAUGAUAUAACAUU